GCCGGCCGCACUUCCGCCUUGGUGUCAGUGGGUCGCGGGCCUGCGGGGCGGGGGCGGGGCGGGCAGCGGAGCUCGGUCGGCGCUGGAAGGAUCGCGGUCCAGAUCUCCAGUGCCUAUUGGAUUUUUACCUUAGAAAGUUCAGAGCGUGAAAUUUCUCACACUGUCGAUGUAGAUCCAGUGCAAUGAUUCAGUAGAAGACCCUCCAGAUCAGGCGGCGAGGAGCCUGACGCUGAAGGAUGAACGGAGAGGAGGAGUUCUUCGAUGCCGUCACAGUGCCCAGGAGCCGCCCCCCACGUAAGGACCUGGAGAGCGUGGCGCUGGUGGCGGGGUGGUGGCCUCAUGCGGGGAGCACCCGGGAGCGGUCCUCGUGCUCCGCCUCGACCUUCGGUUCUUGGGAAGAAGCGUUCAUUACUCUGGACGUGUCGGUCAGAAGCACUCUCGAGCUUCAGGUGCCUGCUUGCAGAGUGAGAAUUCUUAGAGAGGCAAAUCAGAGAGUCACUGGCGUGAUUCAUGUGGACACCAGCAAAAGUAAUGGGAUUGGAAAAGUUGGGGAGAGGCCUCCUCAAGAGAAUGGAAUUCAAAAGCACAGGACGUCGUUGCCUGCUCCGAUGUUUACCAGAAGUGAUUUCAGCGUGUGGAGUAUAUUGAAGAAGUGCAUUGGCUUGGAGCUGUCCAAGAUCACGAUGCCCAUCGCCUUCAACGAGCCUCUGAGUUUCCUGCAACGGAUCACGGAGUAUAUGGAGCACGUGUACCUCAUCCACAAAGCCUCCUGCCAGCCCCAGCCCCUGGAAAGGAUGCAGUCUGUAGCGGCCUUUGCGGUUUCGGCUGUGGCUUCCCAGUGGGAGAGGACCGGCAAGCCGUUCAAUCCGCUCUUGGGGGAAACGUACGAGUUAACCAGGGAAGACUUAGGGUUCAGAUUCAUAUCCGAGCAGGUCAGCCACCACCCCCCCAUCAGUGCAUUUUACUCGGAGGGCCUCCAUCAGGACUUCCUGUUUCACGGCUCCAUCUACCCGAAGCUCAAGUUCUGGGGGAAGAGCGUGGAGGCGGAGCCGCGUGGCACCAUCACGCUGGAGCUUCUCAAACAUAAUGAAGCCUACACGUGGACCAACCCUACCUGCUGUGUCCACAACGUGAUUAUCGGGAAACUCUGGAUAGAGCAGUACGGGACGGUGGAGAUUGUAAACCACAGAACUGGAGAUAAGUGUGUGCUUCACUUUAAACCGUGUGGAUUGUUUGGAAAAGAACUUCACAAAGUGGAAGGGUACAUUCAAGACAAAAACAAAAAGAAGCUCUUUAUGAUCUAUGGCAAAUGGACGGAGUGUUUGUGGGGCCUGGACCCUGCUGCGUACGAGUCCUUCAAGAAGCAGGAGAGGAGAACCGAUCCCCUGCGGAAGACAAAGCUGGACGACUGCCCCGAGAAGGCCGACGGUGAUGUGGUGGACGCCGUGCCGGAGGCUCAGGAGACGGUGCAGGUCAUUCCGGGCAGCAAGCUACUCUGGAGGGUCAACACCCGGCCCCCCAACUCUGCCCAGAUGUAUAAUUUCACGAGCUUCACGGUUAGCCUCAAUGAACUGGAGACGGGCAUGGAGAAGAUCCUGGCCCCCACCGACUGCCGGCUGCGCCCUGACAUCCGAGGCAUGGAGAACGGCAACAUGGAUCUGGCGAGCCAGGAGAAGGAACGGCUGGAGGAGAAGCAGCGGGAGGCCCGGAGGGAGCGGGCCAGGGAGGAGGCCGAGUGGCAGACGAGGUGGUUUCACCGAGGCAGUAACCCGUACACUGGGACCCCCGACUGGCUGUACGUGGGGGGCUACUUUGAGAGGGAUUUCUCAGGCUGCCCAGACAUCUACUGAGAGACCGGACCGGCCCCCGGCCCCGGAGACCCGAGAGGCUAGACUCCACCAAGUGGCUGCUCUGAGCUCCGGUCACAGCAGAAGCCGGCUUUCUAACGGCUGUGCGUGGAGGUGGCUCCGUCCUGGUUGAGGAUUCAAUUCUAACCAACUUUGGAUUGCCAAACGUUUUCCUACUGUUGCAGUCUCUUCAUAAAGCUUCACUUGGGAUCAUCAUGUUUCCAUUAAGGUCCUCCCUGAGGUCAGAUUCCACGUGGCCCCAGUAGCUGCUUCCUUCGCACCCGAUUCAAGAGUCAAAGGACAAAGGGCAGGACGGCCGAUGACCUCAAAGCAUGGCCGUCGUGAUCCUUUAAGCACUGUGUCCACAGAUGCUAACACCGACCAAAGCUGCCCCCUUACCUUGGCUGCCGUGACACACUGGGAUGCUGGGUGUUUCUCUCUAAUAAAGAGUUUUUCAGUGGAAUUUGCUUUUUAAAGGAUGACCUCCCACGACCGAUGUGUGUGGCCCGUGUGGAAAGUGGUGGCCUUGUCGUUGGCCCCCAGUUUGUGACUGUGGCUUUGAGAUAGGGCCCGGGUGCUUUUUAGAGCCGUCUCGUAACUCAGGAUGUUCUUGUGGGAUGAAAAGUAGAGCACACUUUACCCGAAGAACUUCACAUUUUGAUUUUGCUCCCCCUUGAAGGUAGGAUCCAGUCACAUGUCCAUCGAUUCAGUGCACGUUUACUGAGAGCCACUGGAGAGUUAGCCGCACAGACGUCUCAGAGCAUGUUUCAUGGAAGAGAGAAACGUUACGUGCACGCCAGUGCUGGCUAGAUUUAACAGGCCACCUGCUGUUGGCGACCAAUGGUCGUGCCUGGGUCGCUGUGCCACACAGGUCCGUCCCAGGAGUGGUACUGCUCUCCCUGGCGGGGUCAAGGGUCAGGGCAUCCCCAGCACUGGCUGGCCGGCUGCGGGCCCCGGUCGUGAGAAGGCAUCGGAGAAGCGGGCCCCGGCCCUCACGGGCAUCACCGCGUUCGGCCACUCCGGGCUGCCACGAAAGCCAGGACCCUCCGGGAUAUAGCAUGGUGGCUCUGGAAGGGGUGAAACGAGGGUGCCAGGCGGACCUCUCAGCCUCCACAGGGAAACGGAAGCCGGCAGUGGCCCCAGGCAGGGCCCCUGAGGAGCAGCCCCGAUGGUUUUCUUGGCCACAGUCUCCGUUUCAUAGUCUGUCUCCAAGGACGAUGCUUGGGCUCGUGGAAGGAUCUUCCCGAAACACGGGGAGAAGAACCCAGUACAGCGCCGAUGGCCUCCGGGCGCCCGGGCCGAUGCUGCCGGCCACUUGUGCCAAUGAGCGUGGAGCUGUCCAGCUGGAGGCGUUGCCAUCUGCUUGCUGGGUCCUCGUCAGGACCUGAGGCCAGGAAAUCAGAACAGGACGAGAGAAGGGCCGGGCAUCUCCCGCGAGCCAGCCAGCCCUCCGGGUCGCCCCGGCAAGAAGCUUCCUCUCAGGACACCUGCUCCCGGGAAAAGGUGCUGCCCGCGGAGCCGGGGAUCUACAGGUCUGGCAAGUCGCACGUAUCCACCAAGAACAAUGAAAUGAAGACAUCGUUUAAAAUGCUAAUAAGCUUCCAAAAAUCGGAAGCGAGAAUAGCCCUCCUCCUGUCUACCCUUGCGCGCUAGCAGGGGAGGGCACUGCUCCGUGAAGCCUCGCGUCCUGUGUGGAGCUAUCGGCCCUGCAGGAGAGUUCAGUCAAUAGACAGUUCCUACUGGUCCUGGCUUCAUCUUCCAAAGGAUCUUCCUAUGUCCAAAGUGGGUGCGAAGAUUGGGGUCCCCUGACAAAAGGGCCUGUCGCCAGACCUGCAGGACGUCAAGUGGUGUUUCCCUCAGUGCACGUCAGCUUUGGGCCUAUCUUGUACGUUCUCAGUGUCGGUUUCUUCGCAAAGCGAAAAUGCCAUUUUGGUAUUUCUUGGUACGAGCUUCCUGGACCGUCAGCCCUCAACUGGAUGCACUGCUCCAUUCCGUCUUUGUGCACCAGCCACCCUGGGCCAAACGUCUGGUGAAGGGCUACUUGGUCUCUGCAGAGGGUGACAGCGCACAGACAGGGGCCUUCCUCCAUUGUCCCACGAACACUGUUCGUCCUAUCUGUGCAGCACGAGAACGUCAGGCGAGAAAACACGUAGUGAAACGGAUUUAUUGUUAUAAUUUUAUAAUACGUAAUAACUGUCAAUAUUCUUCUAUAUAAACAGAAUCAACCAUUCUCAGAUUUUUGGGGAGGCCUGGACGGAUCUGUGGAGAUAAAUGUUAAACCCUGAAUAGAGAUUCUUUGCAAAUGGGUGGUAGUUGACAUUUGUUUUGCACUGAACAAUUUUUCACUGUCUGCUGCUCUGGCCUCUCUGGUGAGGACUGCAAAGCAGCUGUGGAUGUGUCCUUGAGACCAGGCGUCAGACGUUUGGCCUGUGUGUUCUUUAGGGUGGCCCAGUUAACGGAUUGUUUCAGAAAACUGCUUGUUACAGCGAAGAGGGGGCUCAGGGGCACAUGAGGUGGAUGAAGGGGUCUGGGUUCUCUGGGCAGCGAGGAGCUCUGAUGGACUCUCUUCCCUCCUGGGGGUUGGAGCCUGUUGCUGGAAGCAACGGAAUGCCCAGAACACAGUGUUCGCUUGACUCAGAGGUCCCUGUGCCCGACCUGCUGCCCUAGGUGCCCAGCAGCUGUGCGCUUCCCAGGAGGGUGAGCUGAGAGGAGGUGGUGAUCCCAGUAGCCAUGGUGGCUCCUGGCAGAGGGACAGACUGUCCACACGACUUUAAUGUCCUGGGAAUGCCCAGGUGCAUAGAUGUGGGGCUCCACCAUGGCCAUGGUGUCUGACUGUGGGGACCACAGAGCAUCAGCCCUGCCAGAGCCGGGGCCUGGUGUCCUGGGUGCUUAAUCUCCACAAUUACCAUCCAGUGUGACCCAUCGAGGAGGAAGGGGAGGCGCAGGAAGGUGGGCUUGCCUGAGGUUUCAGAGCAGGUAAGUAGAGGACAUGGAAUUCAAACCUUGACAUACAGUGAAACUCACCCUUGUGUGCAGUUGACAGAUUCAUACCAUCUUGUAACCAUCAACGCAAUCAACAUAUAUAGUUUAAUGGCAAGGUUCAAGUGGGAAAGGACUGUCUUUUCAACGAAUGGUGUUGGGAAAACUGGAUAUUUACAUGCCAAAGAACAGAAUUGAUCCUGACCUCACACCAUAUACAAAAAUCAACUCAGAAGGGAUCAGAGAGCUAAACAACAAAACUCUCAGAAGAAAAUAUAGAGCACAGAGUUCACAACUUUGGACUUGGGAAUUAUUUCUUGGAUAUAACACCAAAGGCACAGGCAACAAGAAAAAAAAACCCAGACAAGUUGGACUUUAUGAAAAUUUAAACACAUUUUGUGCAUCAGACACUAGCAUCAGAGUAGAAAGGCAAUGGGAGAAAAUAUUUGCAAAUCAAACAUCUGAUAGCAGAUUAAUAUCUAGAAUAUAUAGAGAACUCCUAAAACUCAGUUACAACAAAAAAAACCUGAUUCAAAAAUAGGCAAAGGACUUGAAUAAACAUUUUUCCGAAGGAGAUGCACCAAUGGCCAAUAAGCAUGUGAAAACACGCUCAGCAUCAUUAAUCAUCAGAGAAAUGAAAAAGCUACAACGAGGGCUUCCCUGGCGGCGCAGUGGUUGAGAGUCCGCCUGCCGAUGCAGGCGACACGGCUUCGUGUCCCGGUCCGGGAAGAUCCCACAUGCCGUGGAGCGACUGGGCCCGUGAGCCG